UGGGGAAUUUUGGACAAUGGGCGAAAGCCUGAUCCAGCCAUGCCGCGUGAGUGAAGAAGGCCUUCGGGUUGUAAAGCUCUUUUAGUCGGAAAGAAAGAGUUGCAAUGAAUAAUUGUGAUUUAUGACGGUGCCGACAGAAAAAGCACCGGCUAACUACGUGCCAGCAGCCGCGGUAAUACGUAGGGUGCGAGCGUUAAUCGGAAUUACUGGGCGUAAAGGGUGCGCAGGCGGUCUUGCAAGUCAGAUGUGAAAGCCCCGGGCUUAACCUGGGAAUUGCGUUUGAAACUACAAGGCUAGAGUGCAGCAGAGGGGAGUGGAAUUCCAUGUGUAGCAGUGAAAUGCGUAGAGAUGUGGAAGAACACCGAUGGCGAAGGCAGCUCCCUGGGUUGACACUGACGCUCAUGCACGAAAGCGUGGGGAGCAAACA
rnacentral:rRNA from 1 species